rnacentral:other from 12 species
AUUUUCACUGCUGCACCGAGGGCACACGUAUCUUCAGCGGGACUUGGAAUUCCUGGAGAAUUCAAUUGCCUUUGUGAAAGCUGGCAUAAUUUCUUUAAAUUUCAUCUCUUAGUUUCCCAUUUUGUUGUUUCAGAAAGAUAUCAAGAAACC